AUGUACAGUAAAGAAUUCAAGACUGACCAAGUGGGUGAAGAAUUCCACCAAAGAGUCAGAUAACACUAAUUCAUAAGGAGUUACACCCCAGCUUGACAAACACUGUGCAGCGGAGUGCAGCAGCGGGGGAGCGCCCUGGCUUUCCUCCAAGAUGUGACUGUGGGACCUUUCAGAUGAUAUAAGCUGAGGAGAAGACAGAAAGCGUGAAGAAAAUCAGCCUGGCAGGACUUGUGCUGGUUUUGGGGGAGGAACUAUCUGUCCCAAUUUCUGAAGCAGC